AACGAACGCUGGCGGCAUGCCUAACACAUGCAAGUCGAACGAGACCUUCGGGUCUAGUGGCGCACGGGUGCGUAACGCGUGGGAACCUGCCCUUAGGUUCGGAAUAACUCCCCGAAAGGGGUGCUAAUACCGGAUAAUGUCUUCGGACCAAAGAUUUAUCGCCUUUGGAUGGGCCCGCGUUGGAUUAGCUAGUUGGUAGGGUAAAAGCCUACCAAGGCGACGAUCCAUAGCUGGUCUGAGAGGAUGAUCAGCCACACUGGGACUGAGACACGGCCCAGACUCCUACGGGAGGCAGCAGUGGGGAAUAUUGGACAAUGGGCAAAAGCCUGAUCCAGCAAUGCCGCGUGAGUGAUGAAGGCCUUAGGGUUGUAAAGCUCUUUUACCCGGGAUGAUAAUGACAGUACCGGGAGAAUAAGCUCCGGCUAACUCCGUG
rnacentral:rRNA from 1 species